AUUGAACGCUGGCGGCAGGCUUAACACAUGCAAGUCGAGCGAGCGGCGGACGGGUGAGUAAUGUCUGGGAAACUGCCUGAUGGAGGGGGAUAACUACUGGACACGGUAGCUAAUACCGCAUACCAUCAGAUGUGCCCAUAUGGGAUUGGCUAGUAGGUGGGGUAAUGGCGCACCUAGGGGACGAUCCCUAGCUGGUCUGAGAGGAUGACCAGGCACACUGGAACUGAGGCAAGGGCCAGACUCCUACGGGAGGGAGGAGUGGGGAAUAUGGGACAAUGGGCGCAAGCCUGAUGGAGCCAUGCCGCGUGUGUGAAGGAGGCCUUCGGGUUGUAAAGUACUUUCAGCGGGGAGGCGUUACCCGCAGAAGAAGCACCGGCUAACUCCGUGCCAGCCGCCGCGGUAAUUA
rnacentral:rRNA from 1 species